GGGCUGUUUAGGCGCUCCUGGAG
rnacentral:snRNA from 1 species